rnacentral:rRNA from 1 species
CAGCGGCCUAUCAUGCAGCCGACGGCAAGUCUGAUAGCAAUAUUAUACCUAGAGUGGCGUAAGGGUGCGUAACACGUAUGCAGUCUGCCCGCAACAGGAGGAUAGCUCCCCGAAAGGGGAAUUAACCCUCCAUAGGACCACACGAGGGCAUCCGAGAGUGGUUAAACUACAAGGGGUUGCGGAUGAACAUGCGGUUGAUUAGCUAGUUGGUAGGGUAACGGCCUACCAAGGCGAUGAUCAAUAGGGGAACUGAGAGGUUUAUCCCCCACACUGGCACUGAGAUACGGGCCAGACUCCUACGGGAGGCAGCAGUAGGGAAUAUUGGACAAUGGGCGAGAGCCUGAUCCAGCCAUGCCGCGUGCAGGAAGAAGGCCUUCUGGGUUGUAAACUGCUUUUGCCAGGGGAUAAAAAGUCCCUGCGGGGAAAAUUGAAGGUACCUGGUGAAUAAGCCACGGCUAACUACGUGCCAGCAGCCCGCGGUAAU